UCGCCUGUUUUACAAAAACAUCGCCUCCUGCAACACAACUAUGUAUAGGAGGUCCAGCCUGCCCAGUGACUACAAGUUCAACGGCCGCGGUAUUUUGACCGUGCAAAGGUAGCGCAAUCACUUGUCUUUUAAAUAGAGACCUGUAUGAAUGGCUAAACGAGGGCUUAACUGUCUCCCCUUUCCAGUCAGUGAAAUUGAUCUGCCCGUGCAGAAGCGGACAUAAAAAUACAAGACGAGAAGACCCUUUGGAGCUUAAGGUACAAAACUCAACCACGUCAAGCGACUCAAUAAAAAGCAAAAACUUUGUGGAAUAUGAGAUUUUACCUUCGGUUGGGGCGACCACGGAGGAAAACAAAGCCUCCAAGUGGAUUGGGACAAACCUCCUAAAACCAAGAGAGACAUCUCUAAGCCACAGAACAUCUGACCAAACAUGAUCCGGCUGCCCGAAGCCGAUCAACGAACCAAGUUACCCUAGGGAUAACAGCGCAAUCCUCUCCCAGAGUCCAUAUCGACGAGAGGGUUUACGACCUCGAUGUUGGAUCAGGACAUCCUAAUGGUGCAGCCGCUAUUAAGGGUUCGUUUGUUCAACGAUUAAAGUCCUACAUGAUCUGA
rnacentral:rRNA from 1 species